GUCCCUGUAGCGCAAUGGAUCGCGUGUUGAACUGCUAAUCCAAAGGUCGUGAGUUCAAUUUCCACCUGGAAUG